AGCUGUGCAAAAGACCUGAAAACUGCAUCCACCUGUAUGUAAUUGACCUAAUGAUAAAAUUCACCAUGGCCUUUGCUAGAAGAAAGUGUUCAGCAUCUUGAGGCAGCCACCGAGCUGUAUGUGCUUGAGGAAAUCCUUUCUGACCAGCAGACUAUUGAUUCUGAAAAAAGCUAUAUUAUCAUAAAUCUUGAGUGACUUGACACAGAAAAUUGCAUCUAUGGUAGCCCACAAAAACCUUCCAUCUGCAAUCACAUGAGUAGGCUGCACAAAAAAGUGAUGAGGUGCUAACAUCUGGAAAUUGAAGACCAAACAAUUCUUGAAAAAUACCAUAAAGUUAUGAAAAUGUUUACCAUGUGCCAGCAUUGUGAAGACCCAAGUCUGAGUAGGGUAGAGGUACCAAAACCAAUAGCUUGGAGGGGGUCCUCAAGUUUACACCAGCAUGCAGCCUAGCUACCCAUCACUGUUUUCAGACACUUCACCAAGGAGCCAGUCUCAAGCCCUGGGUUCUCAAAACCUCUAUGUUUGCUGCUCAGCAACGACUGAAGUCCCUGGGCCUCAAAGUUUUCCUUGAUGGUCCUGCAGUGUCCUGGGGAGAUGCUGAUGAUGACUCCAAUCAUGUAUUUGCUCAGGUACCAGCAUUUUUAUGGACCAUAAAUGUAACCCAAUUAGAGGUCUCUACAAAUCUGUACUGUUUCCAGAGUCCAAGAUGGAUUGUUUAGUUUUGGCUCAGGCAGCUGUGCAAUGCUGCAUUAUUUCUACCACUAGCAAGGAGUCACACAUUACUCUUUUCUCUCCCUCUCUGAGGGAGAGAGCACAUGCGUGUUCUCUGAGGUGUGUAUUAUCUAGAACAAGGCACAGGAAAACAAUAAUAAGACUUCCGACACUAUUAUUUUCUAAGCAGGCAUACAAAAUUGUGAUUAAUUACAGGGUGAUUCUGAUUUGCACACACCUGAACAAAAUGUUCUUAGGGCAAAAAUUCACUUCCAAACCCUAUUAAAAUCACAUUACAAGGUAAUUUUUACAUUAAAAAAGUGAAAAAAAUAAAUGUAAAUAAAUAAAUAUAGUAUAUACCAGGGCGAAAGAAGAACAAAUGGUAUGGUUGGAUUUUAAGCUGGGCUUCAACUGUUUAGUCAUUUUGAUUAAUUUAGAUGCUAGAAAACUGAUUGUAGUGACUAUUAACCAAACUACUCCAAUUUGCAAUCUCUGCUCUGGUUUUGGAGAGUACACAAUGACAGUAAGGCUGUGUCAGUGCUGUCCCUGCACCCGUGGAAUGCAGUUGAUAGUGUCAAACAUGUAAAUUAGAAUAGUUGUAUACCAUGAGAUUUGGUUUCUAUAGGCCUAUAUGUUCACUUUUAAUGUACAAGUACAGAACUGCACAGCACAGAGAGACACAGAGCAGAGGUUACAAAGAAAAAUUAAUAAUAACCAGAGGUUAACUAUUCUUAUUUCCAAACUUUGCCUGCACUGAACACGAGAACUAAGUUGCUUGUCCUGUGAGCAGGUGUCCCUCAUGCUGUCCUUCACUUCUUUGAGAAGGAGGUCCCUAUGAAGGGACAAUUCUCCUGGUCAACAGACCCCUUUCCCUCUGGGAAGGGCUGCCUUAAGCAGAGGCAGAAAAUCAAGCCAGCUCUGAUAUUAGAACACACUGAAGGGGAGGCCUGAGAAGUGGGCCAAUUUUAUUUUCUCAGCUGACAACAUGAUAGUGGUUACUGUUAAAAGGAGCCAUUGGAUGAUAUAAAAAGGUUCUCUACAUUCCCUGCCAAAUCCUCCUAUCAGGCUUCCAUGAGUUCAUAUCAGGUCACUAUGAGAUUCUUUUCAUCUCAUAACACUGAACUCAUUAAUUUCCAUGACUGAUCUGAAACAGUAGCAUGUACGGAAAAACCCCU